rnacentral:rRNA from 1 species
CAGAGACUUUCCAGAGAUGGAUUGUCUGCCUUCGGGAACUCUGAGACAGGUGCUGCAUGGCUGUCGUCAGCUCGUGUUGUGAAAUGUUGGGUUAAGUCCCGCAACGAGCGCAACACUUAUCCUUUGUUGCCAGCGGUCCGGCCGGGAACUCAAAGGAGACUGCCAGUGAUAAACUGGAGGAAGGUGGGGAUGACGUCAAGUCAUCAUGGCCCUUACGAGUAGGGCUACACACGUGCUACAAUGGCGCAUACAAAGAGAAGCGACCUCGCGAGAGCAAGCGGACCUCAUAAAGUGCGUCGUAGUCCGGAUAUGAUUCUGUUACUCGACAAACUGGAGUCCCGAAACGCUAAAAAUCUAGAUGAAAAUG